rnacentral:lncRNA from 1 species
UCUCUCUCAUGCAAGAAAGGUGUUCCUGGAAAACCCUCAUCUAUAGUGAAUUCAGGUGGCUCCGCAGCCCCUGGAAUUGCUUCUGUCUGUUUGCUCCAAUCAUUGAAGGGAGUCACCAAUGCCGUGAUGCUCACUGGGAACAAGAUGGCGGCCCCUUCAUCCAGCCAGCUUCCGCUUUGGCUUUGACUUCCGGGAUACUCACGACUAGACCACAGAGUUCACUAUUUCCACCAGGGGGGAAAUAG